rnacentral:rRNA from 1 species
CAGUAGCCGCGGUAAUACGAAGGGGGCUAGCGUUGCUCGGAAUUACUGGGCGUAAAGGGAGCGUAGGCGGACAUUUAAGUCAGGGGUGAAAUCCCAGAGCUCAACUCUGGAACUGCCUUUGAUACUGGGUGUCUUGAGUGUGAUAGAGGUAUGUGGAACUCCGAGUGUAGAGGUAAAAUUCGUAGAUAUUCGGAAGAACACCAGUGGCGAAGGCGACAUACUGGAUCAUUACUGACGCUGAGGCUCGAAAGCGUGGGGAGCAAACAGGAUUAGAGACCCGAGUAGUCCCUGUCUCUUAUAC